UACAGAGGUCUCAAGCGUUGUUCGGAUUCAUUGGGCGUAAAGGGUGCGUAGGCGGCGCGGUAAGUCGGGUGUGAAAUCUCGGAGCUUAACUCCGAAACUGCAUUCGAUACUGCCGUGCUUGAGGACUGGAGAGGAGACUGGAAUUUACGGUGUAGCGGUGAAAUGCGUAGAUAUUCGGAAGAACACCAGUGGCGAAGGCGGCCCACUGGACUGGUAUUGACGCUGAGGUGCGAAAGCGUGGGGAGCAAACAGG
rnacentral:rRNA from 1 species